rnacentral:rRNA from 1 species
AGAUUGAACGCUGGCGGCAUGCCUUACACAUGCAAGUCGAACGGCAGCACGGGAGCAAUCCUGGUGGCGAGUGGCGAACGGGUGAGUAAUAUAUCGGAACGUGCCCAGUCGUGGGGGAUAACGCAGCGAAAGCUGUGCUAAUACCGCAUACGAUCUAUGGAUGAAAGCGGGGGAUCGCAAGACCUCGCGCGAUUGGAGCGGCCGAUAUCAGAUUAGCUAGUUGGUGGGGUAAAAGCCUACCAAGGCGACGAUCUGUAGCUGGUCUGAGAGGACGACCAGCCACACUGGAACUGAGACACGGUCCAGACUCCGUACGGGAGGCAGCAGGUGGGGAAUUUUGGACAAGUGGGCGCAAGCCUGAUCCAGCAAU